rnacentral:ncRNA from 14 species
CCCAGUGUUCAGACUACCUGUU